rnacentral:lncRNA from 1 species
AACAAGCCACUCGUAUGGGCAACAUCUGCGCAUGUGUGAACAGGCAGCUUUGCAUGCCCCAGUGCGUGUAAGCAUGCACACAAAUAGUGCACCACAUCCGCAAAACAUGCCAUGUGCGCAGAAGGCUAGACGCACGCCCAACACCCAUCACAAAUGCGAAGGAGCCCCACAUGGCCUAAUCACAUGACCUGCGUGACUUGUGCGAUGCCUAUACCCUUACCUAUGCGUGACGGGCAUGCUGCUUACGUGACAAACCCCUUUUGAGUUUUUUUUUUGGACUCUUUUCUUCAUUUUUCAAGUAUUACAAGGUUUCCAAAUUCAAAGGACUUCCUCAAUAAUUUUACAUGUGAGUUAAAUGUCAAAAUUGGAG